GACGAACGCUGGCGGCGUGCUUAACACAUGCAAGUCGAACGGAGCGAAUGAAAGCUUGCUUUUAUGAGCUUAGUGGCAAACGGGUGAGUAACACGUAGACAACCUGCCGACAGGAUGGGGACAACAUUCCGAAAGGAAUGCUAAUACCGAAUGAAGCGGAGGAGAGGCAUCUCUCCUCCGUGAAAGAUGGCCUCUAUUUAUAAGCUAUCACCUGUCGAUGGGUCUGCGUCUGAUUAGCUGGUUGGUGAGGUAACGGCUCACCAAGGCGACGAUCAGUAGCCGGUCUGAGAGGAUGAACGGCCACAUUGGGACUGAGACACGGCCCAGACUCCUACGGGAGGCAGCAGUGGGGAAUCUUCCGCAAUGGGCGCAAGCCUGACGGAGCAACGCCGCGUGAGUGAAGAAGGUCUUCGGAUCGUAAAGCUCUGUUGAUGGGGACGAACGUGCGAAGGGUGAAUAAUCCUUUGCAAUGACGGUACCUAUCGAGGAAGCC
rnacentral:rRNA from 1 species